GCCAGGUGUGGUGGCGCACGCCUGUAGUCCCAGCUACUGGGGAGGCUGAGGUGGGAGAAUCACUUGAACCCGGUAGGUGGAGGUUGCAGUGAGCUGAGAUCAGGCCACUGCACUCCACCCUGGGUGACAGAGUGAGACUCCGUCUCAG
ensembl:misc_RNA Metazoa_SRP Metazoan signal recognition particle RNA